GAAGCCGGAAUUGCAGUAAUGGCAGGUCAGCAUACUGCCGUGAAUACGUUCCCGGGCCUUGUACACACCGCCCGUCACACCAUGAGAGUUGGGAAUACCCGAAGCCUGUGAGCUAACUUUUAGAGGCAGCAGUCGAAGGUAGAAUCAAUGAUUGGGGUGAAGUCGUAACAAGGUAAC
rnacentral:rRNA from 1 species